AGAGUUUGAUCCUGGCUCAGGAUGAACGCUAGCGACAGGCUUAACACAUGCAAGUCGAGGGGCAGCGGGGAGUAGCAAUACUUCGCCGGCGACCGGCGCACGGGUGAGUAACACGUGUGCAACCAACCCCGUACCGGGAGAUAACCCGCGGAAACGUGGACUAACAUCCCAUGAUACUCGAGAGCCGCAUGGCUCUCGAUUUAAAAUUCCGGUGGUACGGGACGGGCACGCGCGACAUUAGGUAGUUGGCGGGGUAACGGCCCACCAAGCCGACGAUGUCUAGGGGUUCUGAGAGGAAGGUCCCCCACACUGGAACUGAGACACGGUCCAGACUCCUACGGGAGGCAGCAGUGAGGAAUAUUGGUCAAUGGGCGAGAGCCUGAACCAGCCAAGUCGCGUGAGGGAAGAAUGGUCUAUGGCCUGUAAACCUCUUUUGUCAGGGAAGAAUAAGGAUGACGAGUCAUUCGAUGCCAGUACUUGACGAAUAAGCAUCGGCUAACUCCGUGCCAGCAGCCGCGGUAAUACGGGGGAUGCGAGCGUUAUCCGGAUUUAUUGGGUUUAAAGGGCGCGUAGGCGGGACGUCAAGUCAGCGGUAAAAGACUGCAGCUAAACUGUAGCACGCCGUUGAAACUGGCGCCCUGGAGACGAGACGAGGGAGGCGGAACAAGUGAAGUAGCGGUGAAAUGCAUAGAUAUCACUUGGAACCCCGAUAGCGAAGGCAGCUUCCCAGGCUCGUUCUGACGCUGAUGCGCGAGAGCGUGGGUAGCGAACAGGAUUAGAUACCCUGGUAGUCCACGCCGUAAACGAUGCUCACUGGAUCUUGGCGAUACACGGCCAGGGUUCAAGCGAAAGUAUUAAGUGAGCCACCUGGGGAGUACGUCGGCAACGAUGAAACUCAAAGGAAUUGACGGGGGCCCGCACAAGCGGAGGAACAUGUGGUUUAAUUCGAUGAUACGCGAGGAACCUUACCCGGGUUUAAAUGUAGAUUGCAUGAGGUGGAAACGCUUCUUCCCUUCGG
rnacentral:rRNA from 1 species